rnacentral:rRNA from 1 species
UACGUAGGGUGCGAGCGUUGUCCGGAAUUAUUGGGCGUAAAGGGCUCGUAGGCGGUCUGUUACGUCGGGAGUGAAAACUCGGGGCUCAACCCCGAGCCUGCUUCCGAUACGGGCAGACUAGAGGUAUGCAGGGGAGAAUGGAAUUCCUGGUGUAGCGGUGAAAUGCGCAGAUAUCAGGAGGAACACCGGUGGCGAAGGCGGAUCUCUGGGCCUUACCUGACGCUCAGGCGCGAAAGCUAGGGGAGCGAACUGG